GUCUGCAGCUGAUGCCUCUGCCCCUGAACUGCCUGCUUGGCUGACAUCAUCAGAAGUGGUUAUCUCAGCCAAUUACAAUGCUUUCCCAUAGGAUUGGCUGGGACUGUCAAAAAGGCAGAUAUGGGGCAGAGUCAAACACAGUCCUGGCCAAUCAGCAUCUCCUCAUAAAGAUGAAUUGAAUCAAUGCAUAUCUAUGAGGAAAGUUCAGUGUCUGCAUGCAUCCAGAGGAUGGAGACACUGAAUGGCAGUCACACUGUGCAGCACUGCCCCAGGAAGCACCUCUAG